AGUGAACGCUGGCGGUAGGCCUAACACAUGCAAGUCGAACGGCAGCACAUUAAGAGCUUGCUCUUACGGGUGGCGAGUGGCGGACGGGUGAGGAAUACAUCGGAAUCUACUUUUUCGUGGGGGAUAACGUAGGGAAACUUACGCUAAUACCGCAUACGACCUACGGGUGAAAGCAGGGGAUCUUCGGACCUUGCGCGAUUGAAUGAGCCGAUGUCGGAUUAGCUAGUUGGCGGGGUAAAGGCCCACCAAGGCGACGAUCCGUAGCUGGUCUGAGAGGAUGAUCAGCCACACUGGAACUGAGACACGGUCCAGACUCCUACGGGAGGCAGCAGUGGGGAAUAUUGGACAAUGGGCGCAAGACUGAUCCAGCCAUACCGCGUGGGUGAAGAAGGCCUUCGGGUUGUAAAGCCCUUUUGUUGGGAAAGAAAAGCAGCAGGUUAAUACCCCGCUGUUCUGACGGUACCCAAAGAAUAAGCACCGGCUAACUUCGUG
rnacentral:rRNA from 1 species